rnacentral:rRNA from 1 species
CAGGGAAUCUUGCGCAAUGGGCGAAAGCCUGACGCAGCAACGCCGCGUGGGGGAUGAAGGCCUUCGGGUUGUAAACCCCUUUCAGGAGGGAAGAAAUUGACGGUACCUCCAGAAGAAGCACCGGCCAACUACGUGCCAGCAGCCGCGGUAAUACGUAGGGUGCAAGCGUUAUCCGGAAUUAUUGGGCGUAAAGCGUCCGCAGGUGGCACUUCAAGUCUGCUGUCAAAGACCAGAGCUCAACUCUGGGCAGGCGGUGGAAACUGGGGAGCUAGAGUACGGUAGGGGUAGAGGGAAUUUCCAGUGUAGCGGUGAAAUGCGUAGAGAUUGGAAAGAACACCAGUGGCGAAGGCGCUCUACUGGACCUGUACUGACACUAAGGGACGAAAGCUAGGGGAGCGAAAGGGAUUAGAUACCCCCGUAGUCC